UACGUAGGAUGCAAGCGUUGUCCGGAAUUAUUGGGCGUAAAGAGAACGUAGGUGGUUUUGUAAGUUUGGUCUUAAAAGACCGGGGCUUAACUCCGGGAAUGGAUCGAAAACUGCAAGACUAGAGGAUGUCAGAGGAAAGUGGAAUUCCGAGUGUAGCGGUGAAAUGCGUAGAUAUUCGGAGGAACACCAGUGGCGAAAGCGACUUUCUGGGGCAUUCCUGACACUGAGGUUCGAAAGCUCGGGGAGCAAACAGG
rnacentral:rRNA from 1 species